CCUGAAACUUCUGCUGACCGUACAUGCUUGAAUCAAUUGUUAUAGGUGGUCCUAAAAAUAACCACACUUAAAUGAUAGUUUGCAGAAUUAUAUAAAAAAGGAUGAGUUUGCAGAAUCGUAUAAAAAGUAGGAUUAAACAAAUGGCAUGCACUAUUGAUAAAAAUUUACUGUGGUAUUUUGUACCUGCAUGUUUGCGUUUGGGGUGAUGGAACCGCUGUAAUUUGCUAGUACAGCAAUCUUCAAUUAACAAUACUCCACUUUCUUUUGCAUGAAACAAACAAACAGCCGCUAUGUGCUUGCAGGUGGCAUGCGGUCCCUUACCAGCAGGACAUUCACUGUUCAGAAGUUCUCCCAUAUCAUUUAAUUUUAAUUUAUAACAAUAUGUGGCCUUUUUCUUCAUGGAAGCUGAAACCAUACCA